GUGCCAGCAGCCGCGGUAAUACGGAAGGUCCGGGCGUUAUCCGGAUUUAUUGGGUUUAAAGGGAGUGUAGGCGGUCUGUUAAGCGUGUUGUGAAAUUUAGGUGCUCAACAUUUAACUUGCAGCGCGAACUGUCAGACUUGAGUACACGCAGCGCAGGCGGAAUUCAUGGUGUAGCGGUGAAAUGCUUAGAUAUCAUGAGGAACUCCGAUCGCGAAGGCAGCCUGCGGGAGUGUUACUGACGCUUAAGCUCGAAGGUGCGGGUAUCGAACAGGAUUAGAUACCCUGGUAGUCCGCACAGUAAACGAUGGAUGCCCGCCGUUGGCGCCCUGCGCCUGCGGCCAAGCGAAAGCAUUAAGCAUCCCACCUGGGGAGUACGCCGGCAACGGUGAAACUCAAAUAAAUUGACGG
rnacentral:rRNA from 1 species